rnacentral:rRNA from 1 species
UACAGAGGUCCCAAGCGUUGUUCGGAUUUACUGGGCGUAAAGGGUGCGUAGGUGGUGAGGUAAGUCUGAUGUGAAAUCUUCAAGCUUAACUUGGAAACUGCCAUUGAUACUAUUUAUCUUGAAUACUUUGGAGGUAAGCGGAAUAUGUCAUGUAGCGGUGAAAUGCUUAGAUAUGACAUAGAACACCAAUUGCGAAGGCAGCUUACUACACAGUAAUUGACACUGAGGCACGAAAGCGUGGGGAUCAAACAGG